CUACACGACCGUACCGCAAACCGACACUGGUGCGCGAGAUGAGUAUUCUAAGGCGCUUGAGAGAACUCAGGAGAAGGAACUCGGCAAAUUGACACCGUAACUUCGGAAGAAGGUGUGCCUUUAGUAGGUGAACCUGUACAAGGGGAGCCCAAUGAGGUUGCAAAAAAUCGGUGGCUGCGACUGUUUAAUAAAAACACAGCACUCUGCAAACACGAAAGUGGACGUAUAGGGUGUGACGCCUGCCCGGUGCUGGAAGAUUAAAUGAUGGGGUGCAAGCUCUUGAUUGAAGUCCCAGUAAACGGCGGCCGUAACCAUAACGGUCCUAAGGUAGCGAAAUUCCUUGUCGGGUAAGUUCCGACCUGCACGAAUGGCGUAACGAUGGCCACACUGUCUCCUCCUGAGACUCAGCGAAGUUGAAAUGUUUGUGAUGAUGCAAUCUCCCCGCGGAAAGACGGAAAGACCCCAUGAACCUUUACUGUAGCUUUGUAUUGGACUUUGAACAGAUCUGUGUAGGAUAGGUGGGAGGCUUUGAAGUGUGGUCGCUAGAUCGCAUGGAGCCAACGUUGAAAUACCACCCUGGUGUGUUUGAGGUUCUAACCUAGGCCCGUAAUCCGGGUCGGGGACAGUGCAUGGUAGGCAGUUUGACUGGGGCGGUCUCCUCCCAAAGCGUAACGGAGGAGUUCGAAGGUACGCUAGGUACGGUCGGACAUCGUGCUAAUAGUGCAAUGGCAUAAGCGUGCUUAACUGCGAGACUGACAAGUCGAGCAGAUGCGAAAGCAGGACAUAGUGAUCCGGUGGUUCUGUAUGGAAGGGCCAUCGCUCAACGGAUAAAAGGUACUCUGGGGAUAACAGGCUGAUACCGCCCAAGAGUUCAUAUCGACGGCGGUGUUUGGCACCUCGAUGUCGGCUCAUCUCAUCCUGGGGCUGUAGCCGGUCCCAAGGGUAUGGCUGUUCGCCAUUUAAAGAGGUACGUGAGCUGGGUUUAAAACGUCGUGAGACAGUUUGGUCCCUAUCUUCCGUGGGCGCUGCAGAUUUGAGGAAGCCUGCUCCUAGUACGAGAGGACCGGAGUGGACACACCUCUGGUGUAUCGGUUGUCACGCCAGUGGCAUUGCCGAGUAGCUAUGUGUGGAAGAGAUAACCGCUGAAAGCAUCUAAGCGGGAAACUCGUUUCAAGAUGAGAUCUGCCGGGGCCUUGAGCCCCCUAAAGAGUCGUUCAAGACCAGGACGUUGAUAGGUCGGGUGUGGAAGCGCAGUAAUGCGUUAAGCUAACCGAUACUAAUUGCUCGUGCGGCUUGACC
rnacentral:rRNA from 1 species